rnacentral:rRNA from 1 species
AUUGAACGCUGGCGGCAGGCCUAACACAUGCAAGUCGAACGAGUGGCGGACGUGUGAGUAAUGUCUGUGAAACUGCCCGAUGGAUGGGGAUAAAUACUGGCAACGGUAGCUAAUACCGCAUACCAUCGGAUGUGCCCAGAUGGGAUGAGCUAGUAGGUGGGGUAACGGCGCACCUAGGCGACGCUCCCUUGCUGGUCUGAGAGGAUGACCAGCCACACUGUGACUGAGAAACGGUCCAGACUCCUACGGGAGGCAGCAGUGGGGAAUAUUGCACAAUGGGCGAAAGCCUGAUGCAGCAAUGCCGCGUGUAUGAAGAAGGCCUUCGGGUUGUAAAGUACUUUCAGCGAGGAGGCGUUACUCGCAGAAGAAGCACCGGCUAACUCCGUGCCAGCAGCCGCGGUAAUUC